GACGAACGCUGGCGGCGUGCUUAACACAUGCAAGUCGAACGGAAAGGCCCUGCUUUUGUGGGGUGCUCGAGUGGCGAACGGGUGAGUAACACGUGAGUAACCUGCCCUGGACUUUGGGAUAACUUCAGGAAACUGGGGCUAAUACCGGAUAGGAGCUCCUGCUGCAUGGGGGGGGUUGGAAAGGUUCGGCGGUUGGGGAGGGACGCGCGGCUUAUCAGCUUGUUGGUGGGGUAGUGGCUUACCAAGGCUUUGACGGGUAGCCGGCCUGAGAGGGUGACCGGCCACAUUGGGACUGAGAUACGGCCCAGACUCCUACGGGAGGCAGCAGUGGGGAAUAUUGCACAAUGGGCGGAAGCCUGAUGCAGCAACGCCGCGUGCGGGAUGACGGCCUUCGGGUUGUAAACCGCUUUCGCCUGUGACGAAGCGUGAGUGACGGUAAUGGGUAAAGAAGCACCGGCUAACUACGUG
rnacentral:rRNA from 1 species